UACGAAGGGGGCGAGCGUUGUUCGGAUUUACUGGGCGUAAAGGGCGCGUAGGCGGCCUUGUCAGUCAGGCGUGAAAGCCCCGGGCUCAACCUGGGAAUGGCAAUGGAAACUGGCGGGCUGGAGUAUGGCAGAGGGGGGUGGAAUUCCGCGUGUAGCAGUGAAAUGCGUAGAGAUCGGGAGGAACAUCCGUGGCGAAGGCGACUACCUGGACCAGCACUGACACUGAGGCACGAAAGCCAGGGGAGCAAACGGG
rnacentral:rRNA from 1 species